UUUAAAACCCUUCUCCCCCCUCCACUCUCUCCCUCUUCGGCGGCGACGAUCCAAUUCCACCUCCACCAUCGCCGAAGCUCGAUUCCUCAGAUAAUGGAUACCUCAAGCCCUGCAGUAUUUGUCAAUGGGGAGAUCCUAAAGAUGUAUUUGGGGCGGAGAGUUCGUGCAGUGGUUCAAGUAAUGCGAAAUGAAGGUGGAGUCAUUAUAGGGCAAUCCACUGAUGGGUAUCAGUUGACCAUAAAAGGAGCUCAGUCUCUCCCUCUUUCGCAUUUCGUCGAGGUUAUAGGUGUUGCUGAUGGAAAUCAGUCCAUUCGUGCUGAGAUAUGCACUGACUUUGGCGACAAUUUUGAUACUGUGUCGUACAAUGGACUAUGCCAACUUGCUAACGGUAAAUUCAAAAACUUGUUUCUCUGAUGAACCGGAUGCCUGAUCUCAGAAGAUCUACUUAAGCAAAAGAAAGUUGGACGUCGCAAGCUGGGAAUAUUGAACCAUCAACUGGAUGUGAGGAAUCUUUUGGAGUAGUGUCAUUAACGGGUCUUUCACAGGUCCCUAGAAGGGCCCCAACUUAAAACCACCAUCCAUCAGGGUCAAAGUUUUUCCUCGUCCUAUGGCACAGCGUGAACAUGAAAAGUGAGUGGUUACCCUUUAUUUUAUUUUAGGAAACAUUCCAUAGUGGCUUAUUCAUGACCUGGCACAGGUAAGAGUCUAAUCUAUUUCUACGUAGACUAGAAUUGGCUCACUAAAAAAAAAAAAAAAAAAAAAUCUACCAUCUAGAAAAGAUUGAAAUCCUACAAUUCUCUAUUCUAGAGUUAACUCUUUUUGAGUUUAUAAUAUUAUGAAAAAUAGUUGAUAAGAUUAGUAUAUAAAACUUGGCCUUUUCAGCUAAUGCUGUCGUAGAAUUGUAGUUCUUUUUGAAUUGUAAAUUCAGUAUUGUUCUAGAUCAAAUGCCCAGGACAAAUUCUAUAGCUGGAAUUAUAAAAUUUUUUGGGCUGGUAAACCUAACACUGCGCUAAAUCAAAUGUCCAGGACAAGCACUAGAAACAAUCUCUCGGAUAAUAAAUUAAUAAUUGUUUUAUCUUCACUUUUGCAUAGAUAGGAAAACCAAAUUUAUCAUUUUGACAAUUAAUUAAUGUAGCA